UUUGACAGCUUCUCACCGCCAGAUCGUCGUGGUUUCACCCUGCACGUAUCCAGCCUCUGUUACCUGUCUGUUUCCCGUAUUACCUGUCUGCCUGCCUGCCUGUUGACGACCCUGCGUUCCGGAACCUGGAUAUUCGCCUCUGCUCGUUCCCUCACUGAUCACGGACUUGGUUUUUGCUGCUCAUCGGAAGACACGGAUGCACCUGCCGCUGUCUUCCACCACCCGGACUCUCU